rnacentral:piRNA from 1 species
UCCCCUGUGAGGUAGGCAGGAUGGGCUGA